GGUAAGGAUAGGGUUGGGCCCAAUAAUUGUUCAGUAAGGGGCCUAAUGAUAGCAUUGCACCUGCUUGUGAACGGUGGGUCAGGAUUAACUAAGAAGUGUGGAUAAUAACUGUUAGGUGAGCCCACAUGACGUAGAGACUAAGUUGUUGCGAUAUGCUUAGAGAAAUAUCUAAGCAAAAAGUUACUGACGCAUUGGUGUACAUAUUAUCAAUAACUGUUAGG
rnacentral:lncRNA from 1 species